rnacentral:lncRNA from 1 species
UCUCAUCUGAAAAGCCUUAUUCCACACUAUGGUAAUUCUAACAUCUAGCUCUCUAAGGACAUCAUACUUAGAUGUUAUACAAUAAAGCAUCUAUUACGAUUCUUCAUCGACUUUCCGUCUUGAAUCAAAUGAUACCAGGUCAUAUGAUGUGUCCGAACAAGUUUAAACCAGCAUGGUUGGUUCUUGAUAAGGCAACAAGUUGCAUUUGUCGGACACUGAUUCUGCUGCCAUGACAUUUGUGGACUGUAGAACAUUCACAGUGGUCAUUGAAGAGCAGUCAUAGAGAAAGAAAGUAAAUUCUCCAAGAAAAUCUCUAGCAACUUGAUUUGCAUAAUAAGGACCUCUA